rnacentral:rRNA from 1 species
AUGUUGCAUGUUCUUGAUCAGGUAUGUGAUCUAAUUGUUGACGUGUUAAGAGACCAAGUUGUGCUGAGAGUUUUUCAAGCAUGCGUGGAAGGACUCAUUUGGGUCCUACUGGAUGGAGGCCCAUCCCACGCAUUUUUGAGACAGAUGUGGAUAGUAGGAAAGAUGAUCUGGCUAUGCUCAAGGAUCUUUUUAUAG